GUUGCCCAGAUAGACAACCCAAAGGGGGGGGGUGAAUUGGGUUUUUAAAAUAAUUUGGCUAAUUAAAACUUUGUGGAUGAUUAAUUAAAAACUAUAGCAAGUUAUUUAAUUAAAGCCUAGUGCUGUGAGUAAUGUGCGGGGAAGAAGAUGAGAGACAAUGCACUACAAACACAAAGUUUUAUAGUGGUUCGGAGCUAACCCUUGCUCCUACGUCCACUCCCCAAGUCUCACUUGGGAAUUUCACUAUAACCUCCUUGGAUUACAGCCGGUUGUUUUGCAAGCUCACAACCAAACUUGUUGUUUUACGAGCUCACAACGAACUCGGUCGGUUUUCCCAGGCUCACCGACUAGAACCAACCCCAAUUGUUUUUUCCGGGCUCACAAUCAAACCCUUACACACGUUGGUUUUAACUUGGCUCACCAACCAACCUUAAACCCCUUGAUUCAAUCCCCCGAUUGAAUCAAGUAAAUACAAGAGAUAGAAGAAAACAGAAAAUAGCUUCUCAAAAAGCAGAUUUAAAACAAUAUAAUCGUAAAGGAGUUAGAAGCCCUCAAACGCUUUUAAGCUCGUGAAGAGGUAUGGCUUCUGGAACUCCGGUCUCCUCUUGAAAGAGUGGUCGACUUGAAUGCAGGAGGAGGAAGCUUUGAUUGUUGGGAAGAAGUUGUUGGAGCAGUAAA
rnacentral:lncRNA from 1 species